rnacentral:rRNA from 1 species
CCUACGGGGGGCAGCAGUAAGGAAUAUUCCGCAAUGGGCGCAAGCCUGACGGAGCGACGCCGCGUGUAGGAUGAAGCCCUUCGGGGUGUAAACUACUGUCAGGGACCACCAAGUAAGAAGGGAAAAUAUCCCUUUGAAUUGAGGAGUCCCAGAGGAAGCCACGGCUAACUUCGUGCCAGCAGCCGCGGUAAGACGAAGGUGGCAAGCGUUGUUCGGAAUCACUGGGCUUAAAGCGCAUGUAGGCGGUCCCUCAAGCGCUGUGUGAAAUCCCCCGGCUUAACCGGGGAACUGCAUGGCGAACUGUGGGACUUGAGGCAGGUAGGGGCACGCGGAACUCUUGGUGGAGCGGUGGAAUGCGUAGAUAUCAAGAGGAACGCCAGAGGCGAAAGCGGCGUGCUAGGCCUGUCCUGACGCUGAGGUGCGAAAGCCAGGGGAGCAAACGGGCUUAGAUACCCGAGUAGUC